rfam:Triticum aestivum genome assembly, contig: Triticum_aestivum_CS42_TGACv1_scaffold_592024_7BS
GUAGUAUUCCCUCCGUCCCAAAAUUCUUGUCUUACAUUUGUUUAGAUACGGAUGUAUCUAACACUAAAAUGUAACUAGAUACAUUCGUAUUUAGACAAAUUUAAGAUACGAAUUUUAGGACGGAGGGAGUACAAA